UUUCUUAGAGCUUUAUUUUAUUUAAUUUAUUAAAAUUUCAAAAUUACGAUUCACAAUAAUAACACGUAAAAGUCUGCUACCCUAGCACCUAGCACGCAAUUGUCUGUCUCUCUGGCAUGUUUUUAAGUUUUCUGGUUCUUUUGUUCACAACUCGUAUAGGCGGCUGCCGCUUAUCAAAACUUCUUUAAUCCUUCAGAAUAGUAUGUCCAACGGGGUUUAAUCUCUGGCCUGCAAUUAUGGAAAAUGAAUUUGCUGAAUUAACGCUUAAUGAAGAAGAAGAUGCAGUCUUACAAGCAGAAAUUAAGCUGAGUACGAAAACGGUAGAAAGAGUUUUUCGACUGGUGGGAUGUUUUCUAACAGUCAGCGUUAUUCUCUUUCCAGCAAUGAGAAACACCAUGGUGAAUUUAUGGCAUCCUGUUACGGGCGUUCAGAUAUGAGAUUUAGGAGAAAAACGAUUUUUGUUUCAAUUUUUUCAUGUCAUGGACAUAGAAAGAGUUUUGAAGGGCUCACCAUGGACUUUUAAUAAUCACUUAUUGGUUCUACACAUUGAAAAUCCCUUUAAUUUUUACACCUUUCUGGGUGCAAAUUUAUGAUAUUCUAACGGGAUUCUUUUCUGAAAAUUUGGCAAGGUAAUUAGGUGAUUUCUUAGGAAAAUUCCUGGAGUAUGAUGGCUCAGAUCUGGGGAAAGGAAAUAGGAAUUUCAUGCGAAUCAGAGUUCAAUUGGAUGUUCGUCACCCAUUAAAGAGGAAAAAACAGGUUAUGUUCUUCGGGAAUUGUUCAUACGUCAAGUUUAAUUAUGAAAGAUUGACUCUUUUUUGUUUCUAUUAUGGUUGGUUGGGUCACAAUGACUCAUUUUGUGAGGUAAAAAUGGCGUUAGGGGUAGAAGUGGUUGUAAUGGGUUGGGAUUUGUCUUUGUGAGCGCAGUCCAAAAGAGUUUGGCAAUGAACAGUGUUUGGUUAUGCGAAGAUGGAGAAGGUGAUCCAGAUGGAAGUAUUAAUGGUAACCGCAUUUCAAAAUGCAGACCAUGGGGAACGAGAAAUAAUUUGGGAUAUGGAACUGCCAUCGAUCUUGUCCUGGAGAUCAACUUGGAAGGGAAUUUGUCCUCUUCCUCACAAGGUGGAAACAUUUAUUGGCCAAACAGGUCCACUCCGCAAUAGAGCACAAUUUGGAAGAAGGGGUGUUAAUUGGAGAGGAAGGAAAAAAGAGACCUAGGGGGAGAUCGAAGAUUCGAUAACGAGAGAAGUGGUCAAUAUUGUAAUGGUAAGGAAUAGGAGAAUGUAGGACAAUAAUUUUUUUAUCAUUGGCGGCUGCCGAAAGGCAAAGGGACUGAACGCAAUGAAAAUUUUAAGUUGGAAUGUUCGUGGUUUGGGGAAUCCACAGACAGUUUGGAGGCUUCAACAUACGCUGAAGAAAUAUAAUCCCCAGAUGGUCUUCUUUAUGGAGACAAAGAUAAACAAGAUUCAGAUGGAAAGAGUGCAAAGAAGUUGUGGUUUUGCUAAUGGCAUUGAUGUAGACCCUAAUAGAUCUAGAGGAGGUUUAUGUUUGGCUUGGAGAGGUGAUACUACUAUCAUGCUUCAGAAUUUUUCAAAAAGGCACAUAGACGUGAUAAUUGAAGAUCCUGAUGACGGGAAAAAAUAGAGAUAUAAAGGCUUUUAUGGCUCUCCUUAUGCACAGGAUAAGGAUGAAUCAUGGAAUCUUUUGAAAAGUCUUUGUAGCAAUGAGGAACUCCCUUGGUUAGUUUGCAGAGAUUUCAAUGAAACCAUGUAUGGUUUUGAAAAGAAAAGGGGUUGCCUAGGGAUGAAAGAAUAAUGGAAUUUCGAAAUGUUCUGGAAGAUUGUCACAUGAUGGAUGUAGGUUAUUCUGGUAAUUGCUUCACUUGGGAGAGAGGAAAUUUGUUAGAAACAAAUAUCCAAGAGCAUUUGGAUAGAGGUGUGGCUAACGAGAAUUGGAUGUCUAUGUUUUCUGAAGCUACAAUUCAUCAUCUAGUGCAUUCUUUCUCUAACUAUUGUCCUCUUUUAGUUACCACAAAAAGAGACGACAACUGGAGGAGUAGGAAAAUAUUUAAAUUUGAGGCUUGGUGGGUUUUGGAGGAGUCAUUAGAUGGUGAAAUUAAAUUCGGAUGGGAAAUGGAAAUAGGAGAUUUAUUGCAGAAAUUGGAAAGUUUAACAAAGGGUUUGGAGAGAUGGGUUGCACGCAUAUGUCAAUCUAGAAAACAAAAGGAGUUUUUAUCCUCCAAACUGUCAUAGUUGAUGGAAGCUUAAAGGAAUGAUAAUAAUUUAGCAGAGCUGAUUGAUGCGAAGCUUCAAUUGAAUUUUGAGAUUGAGAAGUAUGAACGUUACUGGGUGCAAAGAGCUCGAGUUAAUUGGCUGAAAUUUAGGGAUAGGAAUACAACCAUUUUUCAUUAUCAAGCAACACAACGACGACGAAAAACUUGUAUUCGGAAAUUGCAGAAUACGGCUAGAAGGGAAACGUAAAAUACACAAGACAUGGAAGAAAUUGCUAGAUCUUAUUUUUAAAAUUUAUUUUUGACUGGGGAAAAGGGACAUUGGUAUUGACCGUUGUGUUUGCGAGGAGGAUAAUUAAAGACUCACGGUGCAAUAUACAAAGGAAGAGAUUUGGGAGGCGCUUACUGGAAUGGGGCUCACAAAAGCACUUGGUGAAGACGAAUUUCCAGUUUUAUUUUAUUAAAAGUGUUUGCAUAUCAUUAGGAAAGAGGUCACAUGCUUUUGUUUACAACAUUUGAACGGAGGUUUAGAGGUUAGUUCAAUUAACACUACUCAUAUUGUGCUUCUUCCUAAAAGAGCUAAUCUACCAAUGUUACUCAUUUUCAACCCAUUAGUUUAUGCAAUGUUCUUUAUAAACUAAUGGCAAAGGUUAUUGCUAAUCAAUUUAAGGAAGUUUUGGAAAAGUACAUUGAUGGUGCACAGGGUGCUUUUGAGCCAGGAAGGUUAAUUUCAGAUAAUGUUUUGUUGGCAUAUGAAAUUUUACACACUCUAAAACAGAAGAAAUUAGGAAAAAAGGGGUUUAUAGCGAUAAAACUUGAAAUGAGUAAGACGUAGGAUAGAGUUGAAUGGAAUUUUGUACAGGAAAUGAUGGUGCGAAUGGGUUUUGACCCUAGCUGGAUUGAAUCUAUUAUGACAUGUGUAUCCACAACAUCUUAUUCAGUCGUCUUUAAUGGUCACAUUGGAGAGAACUUUCGACCAACGAGAGGACUAAGACAAGGUGAUCCCUUGAGCCUAUUUUUAUUUUUGAUAUGUGGAGAGGGCUUAUCUUGCCUUAUGAGACUGACACUAAGAGAAGGACAAUUGUAAGGGGUUAAGGCUAGCAGAAGGGGCCCACAAGUAUCGCAUUUGUUAUUUAAAGAUGAUUGUAUUUUGUUUGGAGAGUCAACUGAAAGAGGAGCUCUUUUACUGAAAGCAAUUUUAUGCGAGCAUGGAACCUUUUCGGGUCAGUGCGUCAAUUUCGACAACUCAAUCGUUUUCUUUAGAAAUAACACACAGGAGGAAGAAAGACAAUUGGUUACUCGCAUACUCGGUGUUCGUAGUUCAAAUGACCUAAAACGUUAUCUUGAAUUGCCUAAUAUGGUGGGCAGAAGGAAAAAAGAGUCAUUUCAAAACUUAAAGGACAGGCUUAAACAGCAGAUUGACAACUGGAGUAUUCGGUAUCUCUCUCAAGCUGGGAAAGAAGUUUUCAUUAAGGCUAUUCUUCAAGCAAUACCGACGUAUACAAUGGCCUAUUUUUUACUAGCUAAAUCCUUGUGUGCGGAUCUAGAUAGCAUUAUUGUGAGAUUUUGGUGGCAAAAGGAUUGUGGCAAAAUGGACAUUCAUUGGUGUGCUUGGAGGGAUAUUUGUACCGUAAAAGAAAAUGGUGGUUUGGGAUUUCAAAAUCUUGGGCAAUUUAAUAUUGCUUUAUUAGCCAAGCAAGGUUGGCGACUCAUUAAUUUUCUGAAUUCUUUGUUAGCAAGGGUUUUAAAAGCUAAAUACUACCCGAAUUCAGACUUUAUUAAUGCACAGAUAGGGAAUUUACCUUCGCUUACCUGGAGGAGCGUUUGGGCAGCAAAAGGGUUACUAAAAAACGGUCUAUGCUGGAGAGUCGGUAGGGGGAUCAAAUCUCUGUUUGGAAUGAUCUGUGGGUACCAAGAGUUGAUACAGAUAGAAUCAAUAUUAGAUCCAACAAUGCAGAAAUCAAGUUAGUUUCGGACUUAAUUGAUGCUUCAAUUAGAAAUUGAAGACAUAUUUAAUAGUCAAUACCUUUCAAGCGGACAUUGCACAGAAGGUUUUGUAGAUCCCUUCGGCGGAAGCUGAACACGAUGAUUUUCAAGUCUGAUGAGGAGAACAGUCCGGCGAAUUUUUAGUCAGAAGCGCUUACAAACUGUUACAAGAGGCUAACUUGGAUCCUAGUGCUAAUUUAGUACAGGUCGAAAUUAAAAACUUUUACAGAAAGCUAUGGAAUUUACUUCUUCCUUCAAAAAUUACAAUCACCAUAUGGCGUAUUUCCUGGAACUUUAUC
rnacentral:lncRNA from 1 species